UACGUAGGGCGCGAGCGUUGUCCGGAAUUAUUGGGCGUAAAGAGCUCGUAGGCGGCUUGUCACGUCGGGUGUGAAAGACCGGGGCUUAACUCCGGUUCUGCAUUCGAUACGGGCUAGCUAGAGUGUGGUAGGGGAGAUCGGAAUUCCUGGUGUAGCGGUGAAAUGCGCAGAUAUCAGGAGGAAUACCGGUGGCGAAAGCGACUCUCUGGACGGCAACUGACGCUGAGGCACGAAAGCGUGGGGAGCAAACAGG
rnacentral:rRNA from 1 species